UGGGGAAUAUUGCACAAUGGGCGAAAGCCUGAUUCAGCGACGCCGCGUGAGUGAAGAAGUAUUUCGGUAUGUAAAGCUCUAUCAGCAGGGAAGAAAAUGACGGUACCUGACUAAGAAGCCCCGGCUAACUACGUGCCAGCAGCCGCGGUAAUACGUAGGGGGCAAGCGUUAUCCGGAUUUACUGGGUGUAAAGGGAGCGUAGACGGCGAAGCAAGUCUGAAGUGAAAACCCAGGGCUCAACCCUGGGACUGCUUUGGAAACUGUUUUGCUAGAGUGUCGGAGAGGUAAGUGGAAUUCCUAGUGUAGCGGAGAAAUGCGUAGAUAUUAGGAGGAACACCAGUGGCGAAGGCGGCUUACUGGACGAUAACUGACGUUGAGGCUCGAAAGCGUGGGGAGCAAACAGG
rnacentral:rRNA from 1 species